CUGCUAUAAUACGAAGCCUUAAAUUGUACCUUCUUUUCCGUACGUUCGCUCUAUUCGACUGCAAAAGUGAAGGGUGCAUUCGCCACAGAUGUGACUGGUGUUAACAUAACCUCAACAUUGCGGAAACCUAACGAAAAUCAUAUUCAACUGCAAAGUAUCCACAACUAUAAGUAAAUGUGUAUCCAAACCUAAUGGCACCGAAUCCAAAUAGUUUUAAAUCGCACCGGUCCUCAAGUGCUUUUACUAGGCCAGACCUUGAACUUCUCAAGAACCCUGUUGUUUUCAACGGUGAUCGAGGGUGUGAAAUCAAGGCAGUAUCAGCAGUGUCAGUCCCAACUAGCAGGGACCUACAAACGUAACCUUUCAUUAUUGUGGUAUCUGUCGAAACUGCUAGCCUUGACUGGACCAAAUCCAUCGAACAGGAAAUUUCACUGAAAGAGGAACUGUGACAAUCCAUCUAUUCUAAAAAAUUAGCAUUGAUUCAAAACUGCAGCUGCGCUUGUGUUCUCGGAAUGUUUCCGAAUAAGAAGGUUAACUAGAUUUUCUUUUUCAAGUUUUCUUCGGGAACCUCAUCAUUUUGUAAUGUAUUAGGUAUAAUAAAACUUACUAAGUAUAUUAUCUAAAGAUUGCAUCAUAUUUCAAAUUUUGAUCAGUUACUAUAAAAAAUAAUUUUUAUCAACGUUCAUUACAACACGAUGGUGAUAAAGCAUCAUUAUCGCCCAACGACAACCUAAGAAGAAAAGAAUAUGGAACAGAACAACGACCUACAUCUAAGCUAUAAGUACACUGAGUGCAAUUUGAGAAGUGGAUGCCACUGAAAGAGCUUGAAGAAAGUGCUUGAUUGCUUAAUGAAUUGUGAAUGU